GACGAACGCUGGCGGCGUGCCUAAUACAUGCAAGUCGAGCGAACAGACGAGGCGCUUGCGCCUCUGACGUGAGCCGCAGACGGGUGAGUAACGCGUGGAUAACCUACCUAUAAGACGGGGAUAACUACGGGAAACCGGAGCUAAUACCGGAUAAUAUAUUGAACCGCGGUGGUCAAUAGAGAGAGUCGGUUUUGCUGUCACUUAUAGCUGCAUCGGAGCCGCAUUAGAUGGUUGGUACGGUAACGGCUUACCAAGGCAACGAUGCGUAUCCGACCUGAGAGGGUGAUCGGCCACACGGGAACUGAGACACGGUCCAGACUCCUACGGUAGGCAGCAGUAGGGAAUCGGCCGCAACGGGGGAAAGCCUGACGGAGCAACGGCGCGUGAGUGAUGAAGGUCUUCGGAGCGUAAAACUCUGUUACGAGUGAAGAACAAAUGUGGACGUAACUGUGGACGGCUUGACGGUAAUUAGUAAGAAAGCCACGGCUAACUACGUG
rnacentral:rRNA from 1 species